rnacentral:rRNA from 1 species
GGGGUGGUCGCCUCCAAAAGAGUAUCGGAGGCUUUCAAAGGUCCACUCAAUCCGCUUGGUAACCGGAUGUAGAGCGCAAUAGUAGAAGUGGGCUUGACUGUGAGACUGACUAGUCGAGCAGGGUCGAAAGACGGAUAUAGUGAUCCGGUGGUUCCGCAUGGAAGGGCCAUCGCUCAAAGGAUAAAAGGUACUCCGGGGAUAACAGGCU